AUCAUGGGCUCUGCAGAAAGCCUGCCUGGCUUCCAAUCUAUCCUGCAGAGCGAAUCCCUUCAUGUGUACGACGGGAAUGAGAACCAUCGCUACCUAAUAAAGCCAGGAAGCACGAGGAGCUCAGCAAGCACUUAAAAGUCACUAUCUUUACCAUUGUUAUUACCACCAUCUGCUCCAGGACACACCAUUUGAGAGAAAUGAUGGAAGGAGAAGGGACUGGCUGGAUGCCCCGUGGGUGCUGAGGACAGCUGUGCUGCCUGCGUGCCUUGGAGCAGGGGGGGUCGGCCCCUCAGGCUGGACCCGAAUAGCACCUUGGAUGAGGACAACUGGUGACACUGGGGCAAGUGAGCAGGAGAAGGAGACAACCACAGAGGAGACAUGGAAAAUGAGGAUAUUAAAGAAAUCCAAAGGCACCACCACUACUCCAUGACCCAUAGCACACAAAACAUUUUCUCAGCACCUAUGCAUGAAGGGACUGGAACACCAUCCCUGCCACAAACAGCAGAAGGAAGGAGAUGGUUCUCUCACCUGGC